rnacentral:rRNA from 1 species
CCUACGGGGGGCAGCAGUGGGGAAUAUUUCGCAAUUUUCUAAAUCCUUCCUCCUCUCCUCCUCUUUCUUUAUGCAUUUCUUCUUCUCUUACACCUCUGUCAGCAGGGAAGAACGGUCACUGUGCUAAUCAGCAGUGAAUUGACGGUACCUGCAAAGGAAGCACCGGCUAACUCCGUGCCAGCAGCCGCGGUAAUACGGAGGGUGCGAGCGUUAAUCGGAAUUACUGGGCGUAAAGCGCUCGUAGGCGGUAUGUCAAGUCAAGGGUGAAAUCCCCGCGCUCAACGUGGGAACUGCCUUUGAAACUGGCAAACUGGAGUGUGUGAGAGGAUAGUGGAAUUCCAGGUGUAGGAGUGAAAUCCGUAGAUAUCUGGAGGAACAUCAGUGGCGAAGGCGACUAUCUGGCACAUAACUGACGCUGAGGAGCGAAAGCGUGGGUAGCAAACAGGAUUAGAUACCCGGGUAGUC